AUUGUUUCAUGAAAGUUACUGCAGAAUUUGUGCCAAAACAGUAGUUGUUUGGCAGGAUUUGAUUUGAUUUUGCUUUAUUUAUUUUAAUAAAGAAUCCCUCAUCAUUAAGAUAAACGUGAGAAUACCCUGAGUGUAAACAGUGACCAUGUUGUGUGCUCCUGAAUCUGCCAGUAACCUAAAACAAAACAGUUUAAAGGUGCUGAGGUAUGGCUUCGCAUAUGGGUUUGCCUUGGGGGGAACCUCAACCCCAAGAUGACUUCCAGCAAGGAUACCACAAGCUAAUGAUUUGUGCUUCCAGGAAACAACCAGUGUCUUUGCUGCUCCUGCACACAGACAAAGCUGCAGUAACACCCGCAUCCAGAGAGGCACAUCUGUUUCUCUCUGGUUCCUGUAGAUGUCAAAUGUUUCGACUUACAACACUUGAUCCGAUGCAAUGCCAUGCCAGCAAACAAGUUUG